rnacentral:rRNA from 1 species
AUUUGCCUACGGGGGGCAGCAGUAGGGAAUCUUCCACAAUGGGCGAAAGCCUGAUGGAGCAACGCCGCGUUGGAGAAGAAGGUCUUCGGAUCAUAAAACCCUGUUGUUAGAGAAGAAAGUGCGUGAGAGUAACUGUUCACGUUUCGACGGUAUCUAACCAGAAAGCCACGGCUAACUACGUGCCAGCAGCCGCGGUAAUACGUAGGUGGCAAGCGUUAUCAGUAUUUAUUGAGCGUAAAGGGAACGCAGGCGGUCUUUUAAGUCUGAUGUGAAAGCCUUCGGCUUAACCGGAGU